rnacentral:rRNA from 1 species
UACCAGCACCCCGAGUGGUCGGGCCGAUUAUUGGGCCUAAAGCAUCCGUAGCCGGUCCUACAAGUCUUCCGUUAAAUCCACCUGCUUAACAGAUGGGCUGCGGAAGAUACUAUAGGGCUAGGAGGCGGGAGAGGCAAGCGGUACUCAGUGGGUAGGGGUAAAAUCCUCUGAUCCAUUGAAGACCACCAGUGGCGAAGGCGGCUUGCCAGAACGCGCUCGACGGUGAGGGAUGAAAGCUGGGGGAGCAAACCGG